CUCCAAGAAAAGGCUGUAAAAAUAGGGCACAAUCUUAAUGUUAAUAUGAAAGAAUUUUACGUAUUGGUUUUUUACCUGCAUUUUAAAUUACGCAUUGUGUUUUCGGGUUACAGGGUUACAAUGGAAAUUUACUAGUAGCCUAUAUUCCAUUUUUCUUACAGCAUACUAACUGAUCAACAAUCGCAAGUAUAAGCUAUAACAAAGUGUAGCCUAUUAUAAAUGAACAAUUAUUCAAUUAUUCAGUUGUUAUUAUUAUUAUAUUGAAGAAAUGCAAAUAGCAGCUAAUUCAAUUCACGUGAUGUGUGUACUGCUAGGCAUCUUUGGUUUUCUUUUUGUGUAAUUUGGAUGGAAAAUGUGUGUCUUUUUAUUGUCUGAGUCACUUAUCAAAAGUUGCUAAAAGUUGCCAAAUAAAUUUUAAAAAUUGCUAAAUUUGUUGCUAGGUGCUUUUGGAAGAAAAAGUUGCUAGGGUAGUCUGAAAAGUUGCUAAAUUUAGCAACAAAAUUGCUAAGUUGGCAACACUGUUUCCAAACAGGCGUUCGUGAGCGAGUCGUUCUUUAGAGUCGGAUCUUUUCGAUGAAUCUUUGAACUGGGUUCAUAAACCUGUAUGAGUUAUUUAUUCACGCAUCCGACUGAAUCGGUCCAGACCAUAGAUAUCAUAUAGAGAUAAUAUCAUAUCAUAAUAUGAUGUCUAUGGUCCAGACGGUUCACGAGUCAGCAACUCAAUCAAGAAUCACUGAACCGGUUCUUUUGAAAUAAAAUGUUCGAAAGAACCGAUUUUCUGAAAUGAUUCGAACUUUCCAUCACUAUAGCCUACUUUUCCAUUUUCAAACAGGUAGUUCCCUACUCAAACUCAUAGGUUUAGAUUAGCAGAGCCGCUUCAGAAAUGUCUGAUAUGCUAGAUUAUGAUUACAAAUCACAUAUCAGUGAUAUUUUUUACAAAUAGUUUAGCCUAUAUCUUGUAGUAUUUUAAAAAUGAUAAAGUCCACAUUUCUGUAACACUGCUGAAGUUCAGAAGGAUUAACAUACCGUGAAAAGGUUCCAACAGAGCCAGAGGCCAUAUUAAGACUAUUAUGUUGCCUGCUAAUUGUAUUGGAUUGGGGGAAAAAAGAAACGUGUAGCAUAAGAAUAAAUUAGUUUUAUUUAAUUCAUGAAACUUCCACAAAUCAGACAUUGAUCACAAACAUUGCAGUAGUCAACACCAUUUAGGUCUCCCAUGUGAUGUCAAGACCGACCCAAGAACACUGAUUUCAAAUGGUGCUAGAUGCCAUAAAAGUACUCUAUGGCACCAUCUGAAUUCAGCUUCCAGGAGCAGCAUAGGAGGAGAUACAAAUAUUAUACAAAUAUUAAAGACGCUAUACAGUACACAUGAACCUCAUUCUGUCAAGAUAGUUUGUUCUGAUCCAUACUUUCUUUUAAUAGGAUUUAUUUCUGUGAGACUAUGUUAAAACUUGUUUCCUUGCCACUACUGCGUAUACCCGAGAGCAGAGGUAUUAUGUUUAAACUACUGUAGACCUGAGUCAAUAGAAUGAGUACAAAAGAAAAGUAUAGGGAGUGACCAAGAGGGAGGGAGAGCAUUUGUUUACAAGUUUCUUUUUUCACUCUAGUACAUCAGUUUAUUCUUGGUUUGCUGCCUCUGCGCACCUGACAGCUUGUGUAAUGCUGAUCCAGCUCUUAAAGGGAAAGGGAUCUUUAUUGAGGCUCCGAACCUGCCAUUUAAACGGGGUGGAAAAGAGAAAAUAUUGCAGUUAAUAUACAGUCAGCAGAUUGCAAACAGUUAAGGCAUGCAGCAUAGUAUUUGUUUCUAGCAAAAAGCAUAUUAUUUGAACUCGCAUUCAACAUGCAGUUCAUUCCAAAUAUUUGGUGGGCUGCUGAGAAGAUGUCUUCAGGGACUUGUUGGCUUAGGUUCAUAUAGUAUGUUUAUAAAGGAUGUUUAUCUUUACUGUUGGGUCUAGAAAGAUUACGAAAUUCAUUUUUCUUGGACAAGAGUCAGGCCAGGAUACUAAAUAUAACAUCUUAUAUAUAGCCUAACAACAAGUGAUAAGUGAAUAAUUACUAAUACUUUAUUGUCUGUGCGGGUCCUGGACAUUGAAAUUUCAUAUUUGACAUAUAAUAGACAGAAAACCUACUUUACACUUACAUACUGUAUCUCACAUGGAACACACAUUAUCCUCAUAAAAAACAACAACAACAAAAAAACAACAACAACAACAUAUGAAUACAAGGCACAAUGUAAAACUAAUACACAUGAUAACUGUAAUGAUUAAAACAAAUAGAGCAUAAUGCCACAGGGGGUUUUAAAAAUACAAAUAUACAACUAAAAAAAAUAAGGUACAAUAUAUAAAUAUUGUUUACAAAUUCACUAUUAUAGCUUUUUUUUUUUUUUUUUAAUUAAAAGAGUGUCUAAUGCUGUCGUUGUUUUAGUUUUUUAAUUCACAAAUAUACAUUUUUAUAAAAUUAUAACAAUGACAAGUCUACCGUAUUGUUCACUUCAGGCUACAUACAAGAAGCAUAUAAUGUGUCCUGGUUGCGCCACCUGAAGGGAAAAUUGAGCAUUGCGCUAAUGAUUUGUUUACCUCGUUUGGUCAAGUGCGCACUAGCAAAUAACUACUACAAGUUUAUUGUUAAACACGCUGAAUAAGACACAUAGUGUUACGAUUUGACGCCUUACGCACUUUUUUUUUUUUUUUUGCGAUGAACAAGAUGAUCUAUGACAACAAAAGUUUUGGUGUUAAACAGGUAACCAAAGGUAUGUUAAGCUUAAUAAUGUAAUUCACUAUUAUUCCUUGACAAUAGCCCUUUACGGUUUCUCUUUUAGAGAGGUUUGCUUCAGCGAUGGUCUGAAGCGACAAGAAGUGCGCACUUCAAUUACAGCCAGUGACGUACGCAACGCAUCUCUCGCUCGCGCAGCAUCCUUUUCUAGCCGUUGUCUUGAACGCGACGCUUGCAGUUAUGAGACAGUUGAAGACUCACUUAUGAUUAUGUCAUGUUCAGCCGCGACGAGUUAAUAUAAAAAAGGAGCGCUUUACGAAAACUCUUACGCAGGCGAAAUUCCCAAACGAAACUUCAUAUUAUUGUCGCAAUAGCUAUGACGCAGUAAUAUAUUUGAACGAAAGCCUGUUGGAAUAAUUAUUAGUACACUUCAAUCUCAGAUUUCAAGUGAUGACAUCAAUUCGUCAAUAUUAUUUGUCAGAUAGUAUUUAUAAAUUAUGAAUGACUAAAAAUAUUAAGGCAUUUAAAAGGAUUCUUAUAUGAUUCCCAGUCUUACAAACAAAUAAAUUACUUAUACCUCUUAUGAUAAGAAAUUCUUCUACUUACGUGGAUACAUUCAAACGAUUGCCUUACAAUGGAAUCUUUUCCUAAAUAAUCUACAUGCCACGGAUACCUGCACUCUUCACUUGUUUCAAUCCGACCGAACUCCUCACUUUCCAUUCUUGAGACGUAGUCUCCUCGCAUCAUUACAAGAUCCCUAUCGAUUUUUCCAGGGCGAAAUACUCAGGCCCCGCCCCCCAGACACUCCCCCGGCGACUGAUUGGCCACUGCGCUUUACACGUUCCUAAACACUUCUGGAUCACAUGUGCUUGACGCGUGUUUACAAACAUUGAAUGAGGUCACAUGGUACAGGCAACCAUUUAAUGCGCAUCGCUGGAUACUAGUGUCGCAGCGUCUUAUAAGAGGGAACAAAAAACCGGAACCUAAGUUUACGGGAAACGAUCUGUUAUAUCAUGCCGUAGCCGUCGUGAAAACACCGUUUAGCUCGUUUAGUCGAUCUUACUCUUAGGAAAAUUAGCUAUUGUAACAUUUUUCUUUCACAACACACAAAUAUGUCCUCUAUGCUUUAGUAUAAAAAACAUUUAUAGUUGCCGAGUAACUGUGCGGUUAAUACAAAUAUAUUGAGAACGAUAUCUUUAAAUUUAUUAAGAGAAGCCCACGUGUUACAAUCUCCCAUGUUGCAAACAUAUUACGAAAUAAAAGCAUAUAUAUAUAUAUAUAUAUAUAUAUAUAUGACAAAUUAUUUUAGCAAUUUCUUGUUGUUAAAGUUUGUAAGAUGUUGACAGUGAUUAUUAUUGAAUAAUAAUAUUGCUUUGAAUUUUUCUAGAACGUUCUGGAAAUUCCUGGAACAGUCUGUAAUACUCUAGAACAUUCCAGAACAUUGUGGGUCUAGUCUUAAACGAUAAAAAUCAUCCACGUAUGAAGUUCUGGACGACUCACUGUUGAAGAGUGUGAUGUAGAUCUGGUGUCACGGAGCGUGCCUGUGCUAUCCAAACUCUUCCACUGAACAUCUGAAGCUUGCAGCUGGGUCUGACUGAACGUCUUUAUUUAGCUCCAUGUGAUUGGCUGGUUCAUAGUUGGAGGGAAACAUCAGCCCCGCCUUCAUUUUGCCAUGGCAGUGCUGGUCUUUUUUUCUUGCAGUUGUUGAAUUCAUCUGGUGGUUGGAGACUCAACUUCUCCACCCCUGUCUAUAUAUAAGAUAUACAAUACCAUAGUACAAAAUGUUCAACUGUGGGGCUCCACAGAGGGUUUAACACACUUCACUUGAUCCCACGACCAUGUGAAUCCACUGAAAUCUCACGCACGUAGCAAGCUUGAUGUGGCCCAGGGGGUAUUACUACUGCCUUACUAUAGUGUUUUCUUUGUAGUAGCCUCAGUAGAUUUACUAUUUAAAGCCAAAGAUUUACGUUAUUUAUGAAUCCUAAAUGAUUAGCUACUUUUUUGUUGAAAUGAAGUGAUUUUGCUUUUAGGUGGCAAGUUACAAUGUCGAUUCUUCUCAGUGGUCAUAUUUUUAAUGAGCUUGAAAAUC